rnacentral:rRNA from 1 species
AACAAACGCUGGCGGCAGGCCUAACACAUGCAAGUCGAGCGAAGCCUUCGGGCUUAGCGGCGGACGGGUGAGUAACGCGUGGGAACGUGCCCUUUGGUACGGAAUAGCCCCGGGAAACUGGGAGUAAUACCGUAUGUGCCCUUCGGGGGCAAGAUUUAUCGCCAAAGGAUCGGCCCGCGUUGGAUUAGGUAGUUGGUGGGGUAAUGGCCUACCAAGCCGACGAUCCAUAGCUGGUUUGAGAGGAUGAUCAGCCACACUGGGACUGAGACACGGCCCAGACUCCUACGGGAGGCAGCAGUGGGGAAUCGUAGACAAUGGGGGAAACCCUGAUCUAGCCAUGCCGCGUGAUCGAUGAAGGCCUUAGGGUUGUAAAGAUCUUUCAGUGGGGAAGAUAAUGACUGUACCCACAGAAGAAGCCCCGGCUAACUCCGUGCCAGCCGCCGCAGUAAGAC